UACGUGAAACCGUUUAGGGGUAAACCUGAGAAACCCGAAGUUCUAAAGCAAAGAUUCAUACGUUUUCUUGACAAUGGCGAUUGUUUAUUAAUGUUGCAGCAGGUUCUUAACUGAAUUCUGGUGCAUAUUGCAUUCAACGUGCCAGUGUCAAAUGCGUGCAUUUCUUUUCUUUCAUGACGUCGCGACCCGUUGAACGUCGGUUUACGACCUGUAGCGUAGUUUGAUGCCAGAAAUUUUAUUUGUGGUAGCAAGCGCAUAGUUGUCCAGCCGACAUGUUCGACGGUAGUAGGAAUGGCGCGUGGCCGCGACAUUUGGUUCGCGUCUGACCCAAUGCAAGUGUAUGUAAGUAAUUGUGCAUACAUUGUUGGCAGUGGUGUUAAUAGACAGCACCAUAUGCAUGCACGCCCGUCAGCGAUGCUACGCUUUGGGUACUUUCAGGACCCGUCUUGAAACACGGACCAAGGAGUCUAGCAUGUGUGCGAGUCAUUGGGUUGAAUUUAUACCCAUAGGCGUAAUGAAAGUGAAGGUUAACCUUGCGUUGGCCGAGGGAAGAUGAGAGGCGCAACGUCGUCACUUCGCAUUCCCGGGGCGUCUCGUUCUAAUUUAUAGAAGAGGCGCACCAAGAGCAUACACGCUGGGACCCGAAAGAUGGUGAACUAUGCCUGGUCAGGACGAAGUCAGGGGAAACCCUGAUGGAGGUCCGUAGCGAUUCUGACGUGCAAAUCGAUCGUCGGAACUGGGUAUAGGGGCGAAAGACUUAUCGAACCAUC
rnacentral:rRNA from 1 species